CCGGAAGGGGAGUGAAAUAGAACCUGAAACCGUGUGCUUACAAGUAGUCAGAGCCCGUUAAUGGGUGAUGGCGUGCCUUUUGUAGAAUGAACCGGCGAGUUACGAUUUGAUGCAAGGUUAAGCAGUAAAUGUGGAGCCGUAGCGAAAGCGAGUCUGAAUAGGGCGUUUAGUAUUUGGUCGUAGACCCGAAACCAGGUGAUCUACCCUUGGUCAGGUUGAAGUUCAGGUAACACUGAAUGGAGGACCGAACCGACUUACGUUGAAAAGUGAGCGGAUGAACUGAGGGUAGCGGAGAAAUUCCAAUCGAACCUGGAGAUAGCUGGUUCUCUCCGAAAUAGCUUUAGGGCUAGCCUCAAGUGAUGAUUAUUGGAGGUAGAGCACUGUUUGGACGAGGGGCCCCUCUCGGGUUACCGAAUUCAGACAAACUCCGAAUGCCAAUUAAUUUAACUUGGGAGUCAGAACAUGGGUGAUAAGGUCCGUGUUCGAAAGGGAAACAGCCCAGACCACCAGCUAAGGUCCCAAAAUAUAUGUUAAGUGGAAAAGGAUGUGGCGUUGCCCAGACAACUAGGAUGUUGGCUUAGAAGCAGCCAUCAUUUAAAGAGUGCGUAAUAGCUCACUAGUCGAGUGACACUGCGCCGAAAAUGUACCGGGGCUAAACAUAUUACCGAAGCUGUGGAUUGUCCUUUGGACAAUGGUAGGAGAGCGUUCUAAGGGCGUUGAAGCAUGAUCGUAAGGACAUGUGGAGCGCUUAGAAGUGAGAAUGCCGGUGUGAGUAGCGAAAGACGGGUGAGAAUCCCGUCCACCGAUUGACUAAGGUUUCCAGAGGAAGGCUCGUCCGCUCUGGGUUAGUCGGGUCCUAAGCUGAGGCCGACAGGCGUAGGCGAUGGAUAACAGGUUGAUAUUCCUGUACCACCUAUAAUCGUUUUAAUCGAUGGGGGGACGCAGUAGGAUAGGCGAAGCGUGCGAUUGGAUUGCACGUCUAAGCAGUAAGGCUGAGUAUUAGGCAAAUCCGGUACUCGUUAAGGCUGAGCUGUGAUGGGGAGAAGACAUUGUGUCUUCGAGUCGUUGAUUUCACACUGCCGAGAAAAGCCUCUAGAUAGAAAAUAGGUGCCCGUACCGCAAACCGACACAGGUAGUCAAGAUGAGAAUUCUAAGGUGAGCGAGCGAACUCUCGUUAAGGAACUCGGCAAAAUGACCCCGUAACUUCGGGAGAAGGGGUGCUCUUUAGGGUUAACGCCCAGAAGAGCCGCAGUGAAUAGGCCCAAGCGACUGUUUAUCAAAAACACAGGUCUCUGCUAAACCGUAAGGUGAUGUAUAGGGGCUGACGCCUGCCCGGUGCUGGAAGGUUAAGAGGAGUGGUUAGCUUCUGCGAAGCUACGAAUCGAAGCCCCAGUAAACGGCGGCCGUAACUAUAACGGUCCUAAGGUAGCGAAAUUCCUUGUCGGGUAAGUUCCGACCCGCACGAAAGGCGUAACGAUUUGGGCACUGUCUCAACGAGAGACUCGGUGAAAUCAUAGUACCUGUGAAGAUGCAGGUUACCCGCGACAGGACGGAAAGACCCCGUGGAGCUUUACUGUAGCCUGAUAUUGAAAUUCGGCACAGCUUGUACAGGAUAGGUAGGAGCCUUUGAAACGUGAGCGCUAGCUUACGUGGAGGCGCUGGUGGG
rnacentral:rRNA from 1 species